ACUCUAGCAAAAGUGAAGUCAGUAACAUUUUACAUCUCACCAAUAAAAUGUGGUAUUUUAGUAAAUCAUUUUGCUAUUUUGUGCUAGGACUACUAUCAAUUCACCAAAUGCAGGUGUCGGCAGUGGAAUGCGAUCCUGGGAUAAGACCUGUACCGCCCGAGUGCGCAUAUAUAGUUAGCACAUAGAUGUUUGAUCGUAAUUGGCGAUCUCCAUUGUAUAGGGAUUACUGGCUGAAUAUGAAAGUAAUUCCAGUUUGCAAUCAACUUCAAAAAUUUCACUAUGGAAAAUCUAACCGAAAUUGAGCCACUAAUUCGCAUACGGAGGCGACUAUAGCUACGGUUUGUGGCUUAGGGUUCUCAUAUAUUUUCGUCAAUUAUACUAAAUAUCUUGUAAUUUAUGCACAUUUCAUUAAAUAAUAAAGUUCAUAAAGCUUU